UGGGGAAUCUUGGACAAUGGGCGCAAGCCUGAUCCAGCCAUGCCGCGUGAGUGACGAAGGCCUUAGGGUUGUAAAGCUCUUUUAGCAGGGAAGAUAAUGACGGUACCUGCAGAAUAAGCCCCGGCUAACUUCGUGCCAGCAGCCGCGGUGAUACGAAGGGGGCUAGCGUUGUUCGGAAUUACUGGGCGUAAAGCGCACGUAGGCGGAUUUGUAAGUUAGGGGUGAAAUCCCGGGGCUCAACCUCGGAACUGCCUUUGAUACUGCAAGUCUCGAGUCCGGAAGAGGUGAGUGGAAUUCCUAGUGUAGAGGUGAAAUUCGUAGAUAUUAGGAAGAACACCAGUGGCGAAGGCGGCUCACUGGUCCGGUACUGACGCUGAGGUGCGAAAGCGUGGGGAGCAAACAGG
rnacentral:rRNA from 1 species